AGUGGUAUAUACAUGUAAAAAUCUCUUUUUUUAAUUAUAUUUUUUAAAUUGUAGGAAAUAACAUGCACAUAACAAAAAUAUCAAUUACAUCAUACUUCCAUAAACAAAUAUACAAAUGUACAUGUAUAAAAAAAGGGUGUUACAUCCUACUGGUGAUUGUAUAACCAUGAUUCAUACAUGUCAUGGUGCUGUUUACACAAUAUUUUAGCAAAAAUAACUUUUUUCCUAGCUACACUGUAAGUGAUAAAGAAUACUUCAUAAAGUCUUCAAAACUAGCAUAUUACUUGUAUGUUCAACUCUUCAAACCCUGUAAAAAGUAAAAAGAAAUUUCCUUUUAGAAAAUUAUGAAAAUCAUAUUAAGUAUCUGAAAGAUAACAACAAUGAGAGAAAUACCUGAAUAUUGCAUACUUUCCUCUCUUUCAAAGCAUGUCAUUUUCAUAUACAGUCCAAUUGCACUUUUCAAAUACAAGAUUAGUGUAAAAAAAAAACUAUCCAUAUUUACGAAAUACAUUAUCCGAGUAACAAUACCAUCAAAAGUUAUAAGCCAGCACAUAUUGUAUACAAAGGUUUACUAAGCACAACCUCAUGGCCACUGAUAGUAACUAAACACACUCAAAACAACUCAAGGAAUGAUUUCUUCAUUUGCCAUUUCAAGAAUAUGAAUUUAGGAAACAGUAAAACUAUUGUUAACGUUAUAUGUGUCCAUACAUAUGUCUUUGUUCAAAUAAAAUAAUUAUUGUCUAUAGCUAACAUCACUCAUAACCUAAGAUCACCAAUAAAAGAUGUUCCUUAGGAAGUAUUUAUUAGAAAAGACCAAAGUAGAUGGUGAGAAUUACAGUAAGAACUUUUAUUUAAAUGCCAUACAUAUUGAUAGUCCCACCGAAGCUUGACGAAAAAAAGUCAUUGUGACGAUCCGACCCGUCGUCACGUGAGUUACCGCUCCAUUUUUCCCGUUUUAUGCUUCUAUAUCUUUCAUUAUAUGUGUUUGUAGAGUUUGAAGUGAUUCAGACACUUGGUUGGAAUUGAGAAAAUUAGUCUCUUUAAGAGAAGACUAGUUAGAAAAAGUUAACCGGAUAUUGACUUAUGAGUUAUAGGGCUCGAAAUAGAUUUCCGACAAUUUGGAUAGUUUCGAGUGGUGAUUUAUGACUUUGGAGUGAAAACAGACCUGAAUUUGGAGGUCCGAUGUAGAAUUAUGCUUGAAUUGGUUAAGUUUGAAUUUCGACGAAUUCCGGUUGAUAGGUGAGAUUUGCUCUGGGAGUCGGAAUGGAAUUCCGAGAGCUACUGUAGCGUCGUUAGGUGAUUUUGGAUAUGUCUGCAAAUUUUCAGGGUAUUCGGACGUCGUUUGGUCGGCUUUUUGAUCGAAUGUUAGUUUCGAAAGUUAUAGUUGAAACUUAGGCUUUAGUCCGUCGUGAAUUAAUAGUUUUUCUGUUGUUGGUCGUGUUUUUAUAAUUGAAACAAGUUCGUAUGAUGAUUUGGGGUAUGUUGGUGUUUUUGGUUGGGGUCCCGGGGGGCCUCGGGGUGAUUUUGGAUGAUUUUCGGGAAGUUUGGACUUAUGAAAAUCUGCAUAAAUUGCAGCAGCACUGCAACAGGUAUUUAGCCAUCGCGAUCGCGUGACUUGGGGUGUGAUCGCAUAGGGUUGGGUGCUGCAUGCCUUGCGUUCGCGUGAGUUGAGUCACGAUCGCGUAGGUGUGGCAUCUGAAGCAUGACGGUCGUGUGGAGCAGGUCGCGUUCACAUAGAAGAAUCUAGGGGCCCAACCAAGAUCUGUUCAUCGCGUUCGCGUGAGUUGAGUCACGAUCGCGUAGGUGUGGCAUCUGAAGUAUCACGGUCGUGUGGAGAAGGUCACGUUCACAUAGAAGAAUCUAGGGGCCCAACCAAGUUUGUUCAUCGCAUUCGCGGUCGUGGGGGUCGCGAUAGCGUAGUACGUGAAUUUAAGCAUCGCGAUCGAGUCUGGCGGUAUGCGAUCGCGUAGAAGGAAAUUUAGCUGGGCAGAGGGAUAUUACUGAAAAUUUCAGUCGCGAACCCAUCAUUAUUUUCUCUAUUGUUGCAUCAACUCGAGAGCUUGUUGGUUGAUUUUGAAGGGGAUUUUGACGGGAAGUGAUUGGAGGUAAGUCUUGUGGCCUAGAUACGUCAUUUAAUCGAAGAAUCAUCCAUUAAUUCUAUGAAAUUUGCGUAAAAUUGAAGAAGCUAGGGCUUGGUUUUUGAAAUAAAAAGUGGGGACUUGUUGGCCCAUUUGAACUCCGAUUUUGAUGAACUUUGUAUGUACGGAGCCGUGGCGAGACGAGGAUUCUGGUGAUGUGAAUUUUGUAAUUUUUCGAGAAUGAAAUUGAAGAAAUUAUGGCUUGGUUUUUACUAUGUUAAUUGGGGAUUUGGAGGCAUUUAAACUCCGAUUUUGAUGAACUUUAUAUGUGCGGACUCGUGGCGAGAUGAGGAUUCUGAUGAUUUGAAUUUCGUAAAUUUUCGAGAAGUGGGCCCGGGGCUCGGGUUUUUCCAACUUCGUAUUUUUGGGUGUUUUUCGAGUUCUUUCUAUUGGGUUAUAUCCCAUUAGCCUAUUAUAACAUAUUCCUUGUGGUUUUGGUCAGAUUCUGCAACCGAGGAGGUCGAUUUUUGAGGAAAGCACAAGGCGAGCUAGGAUUUUGGCUGGUUUAAGGUGAGUACUGGUUAUGGAUGAUGUACUGAGGGUUUGAAACCCCGUAUUUGCACUAUGCAGUACUAUGUUGAGAUGAGACACAUGUCUUGUGAUGAGCGUGGUGAUGUAUCUGCUGGGGACUCAGACUUGGUCCAUCCCGAUUGAUGNNNNNNNNNNNNNNNNNNNNNNNNNNNNNNNNNNNNNNNNNNNNNNNNNNNNNNNNNNNNNNNNNNNNNNNACUGUACGUCUCGACUGAGAUUGAGCUUGUACUCGUAUAAUUUGGGCUAGUUGCCAUGUUUGGGGCCUUGUGCCGAUCUGUAGAACUCCUAGGGAGCUUGUUCAUCUGAUUGACCUCACUUUAACUAUUGGACACGUACCAUCUGUCCUGACUUUUGACUGUAAAUCAUGAAAUAAAUCGGACUUUGUAACUUGCACCCUAAAUGAGCAAUACCUAGGGUUGAAUACCCUGUCUUAGCGGAGUGGGUCCAAGAGGCCAAGUCUAUAUUGACUGAGAGGGGUCAAGGGCCCCGUAGUGAGGCUAUUUGAUAUAUAUACAUCGGGUCGGGCUGCACACCGCAACAGUAUAUACAUAUACAUGUAUUGGAUUAGACUGCACGCCGCAGUAGAAUAUUAUAUGGAUCGGACUGCACGCCGCAGUAUUUCAGCGCUUGGGCUGAAGGAGCCCCUCCGGAGUCUGUAUACACCCCCAGUGAGCGCAGUCGACUAUAUUUAUUGGAACGGACUGCGUGUCGUAGCAUUUUAUAUAUUAUAUUUAAUCGGGCUGAGCGCCGCAACAUUAUAUAUAUGGUGUUGGAUCGGGCUGUGCGCCACAACAAUAUUAGUAACUGGUCGGACGGAAAAAAAAGUAUUUAUCAAAUUCUUUUCCCUGUUUGAUAUUUAUCUACUGUCUUUACUGUUGAAAAAUAGAACUGUAUAGUUUUUUUACCGGAGACGUCAAGAGCGCUUUCCUCAAUAGAUUUAUCGAAGAAGAAGUCUUUGUGAAACAACCCCCAGGGUUUGAGAACUCGAAAUACCCAUAUCAUGUGUACAAGCUUACUAAGGCCCUAUAUGGACUGAAGCAGGCUCCACGUGCUUGGUAUGAAAGGUUAAGUACAUUUCUUAUAGAACAUGGAUUCACCAGAGGUAAAAUUGAUACCAUGCUAUUUAUCAAAAGGUCAUCCGAAAGUAACCUUAUAAUUCAAAUUUAUGUUGAUGAUAUUAUCUUUGGUAGUGCUAACCUUCUUAUAUGUAAGGAAUUUGGAAAUCUCAUGCAAAGAUAAUUUGAAAUGAGCAUGAUGGGGGAAUUCACCUUCUUCCUUGGUCUUCAAAUUCAUCAAUCUGAAGAAGGAACCUUUAUCUGUCAAUCUAAAUAUACCAAGGAGAUGAUUCAAAAUUUUAGCAUGAGCAAUGCAAAAUCCAUUGGAACUCAUAUGAGUCCUGCUACAAACUUAGAUAAGGACGAACAGCGUACUCCAGUUGAUGAAACCAAAUACAUAGGAAUGAUUGGAUCACUUCUAUAUAUGACCACAAGUCGACCAGAUAUUAUGUUUAGCAUAUGCAAAAGUGCUAGGUUCCAGUCAUCUCCUAAGGAGUCGCAUCUAACUGCUGUAAAAAGAAUUAUUCGAUACCUUAUCGGGACAAUAUCUUAUGGUUUAUGGUAUCCUCGAUCUAACUAUUUUAAAUUGGAAGGUUUUUUCAGAUGCAGAUUUAGCAGGUGACAAAGAAGAAGGAAAAGCACGAGUGGCACAUGUCAACUACAAGGAAAAUCUCUAAUUUCCUGGAACAGUAAAAAGCAAUCAUCAGUCCCAUUAUCAACUACUGAAGCUGAGUAUAUUACUGUAUGACAGUGUUGUGCACAAUUGCCUUGGAUGUCACAUCAAUUGGGUGACUAUGAUCUUACAUUCAAACCUAUACAAAUUUUUUGUGAUAAUUCUAGUGCCAUUUGUCUUUCGAAAAAUCAUGUGCAUCACUAUAGGGCUAAACAUAUAGAUAUUAAACAUCAUUUUAUUAUAUACCAUGUUCUUUAAGGUGAUAUAGAGUUAACCUUUGUUGGAACAUCGGACUAGGUCUAAGCAUAUAGAUAUUAAACAUCAUUUUAUUAGAGACCAUGUUAUUAAACCUUUGUUGGCACUUCGGAUCAACUAGCUGAUAUUUUUACUAAACAUUUAUUGGAGGAAAGAUUUUGUGCUCUAAGGAACUACUUGGCAUUGUCUGUCUCUCAACUAACUCGUAGGGUCAAAGUGUAACUUUUUUAAAAAUUCUUGUCAUUACUGUCUUCAUUAAUUACGCCGUCAUUCUUUCCCUCUCUUCCUUUUCUAAUUUCACAUCAGUUGCAGCAAAGUUGAAAAGCCAAUCAACGCGUAGGUCUAACUGACAACUUUUCCUUUUCCACUCAACCGUCAAAUCCCCCUUCCUACUAAGUCCUUAUCACCCCUUUCCCUUUCAUCCUUUCCUCCAAAACAUUUCUCUUCCUGUUCAGAAUCCUCGUCUCUUCCAUGGCCAAAACUCCCAAAAACCCCUCUGCUUACACAAGAAAGAGCACCCGUUCCAAAUCAAUACCCACAUCUGCUCUGCCUGAGCAGGUAUUCCUAGGGUCCGACAGGUCUGAGGAAUGUGCCUCUUAUCAAGGUGCAUAUUCCGAGCACUUUCUGCUUCUUGGUGAAAACGCCGCUGGUAAACGACCUAUGGAUGAAGCCCCUAUCUCCUCUCCCAAGAAACCAAAUUUUUGUUUUUCUGUCUCUCUCGAAUCUGACCUCAAUUUCUGGGACAUCCCAACAUAGAUUUCUUUAUUUACCUCAAAGACAAACCUAUUGCCAAUGGUCGUGUGGUAGAUCUAGAUGGUAUGGACUCCCUCAACUGUAAGGUAAAAGAACUUUUCGUUCAUCAGGAGUGGGACAAAUUUCUCUCUAUCUCUCUGCCUAAUGUGUACGAACCUCUAUUCCGUAUGUUCUAUGCAAAUCUUCGCUCUAGCAAGUCUGAUAGGCUCAAAACCCUUGUCCUUGGCAAAUGCAUUGUUCUUGACUGCAACCUAUUUGAUUCCAUCUUUCUUUGUCGCUGUUCUGGUUUUCCAAUGGUUUUUAAAAAUGUGUGGCCGGAAGAUUUCGAAAUCUCCUUUGAUCAGACCAAACAAAUCAUUGCAUAAAACCUCUCUGCCAACCUUCCACAUCAAUUAGAACCCAGUGAUGAUAUCUUUGAAACUAGAGUUAUUUCUCACAUUGUUGCAACCACUCUCAUUCCCAGAACUGGCUCCUUUUCAACACUCUCUCAAAGGAACACCUUCUUCGUCUACUGCCUUAUCUCUAAGCUCAAAAUCAACGUGUCCUCCUGUGUUAUCAACUUUAUGAUUGAGAGUGUUGAAGACCCCACUAGCCUUACUUAUGGUAUGACUAUCACCCACAUUCUAAAAGCCCACCAAAUUUCUCUUUCAGACUACCCCUUUGUUCCUGUGUCUAAUUGCUACAAUUCCAGGGACUUCUCUAGCAUGGGAUAUGUACUAAUAAAAGGGGUCUGGGUCAAGAAGGGAGAAAAUGAGGCAAAACCCACUCCUGAAGGAAUCAAGCCAUCUUUGGUUACUCCACCUCCGUCUAUUUCCUCAGAUCUCAAUGACAAGCUGCGUUCUGUGGAGUCUCAACUCUCCGACAUCAAGUCGACUGUGGAUGUCAUUCAUGCUAUCUCCAAGGAAACAGGGUCUGAUGUUUCAAAAAUCAGGGUGGAUGUGCAAAGAGUGCGAGAGAAUGCGAUCAAGGCAUUUAAAGAGGUGCAUGACAUGUUAGAUUGAAUGCAGGUUGUUGCCAACACCAGGUUUGGCCAGUUUAAGGACGCUAUCUGCAACACUCUUACAUAUUUUUUGCGUCGUGAAUGAUUGUGGCUUUCAGACAUUUUUAUGUUGUUUUUAACUUUUUGAUUGUGAUUGGGCUUUGCCCGUGGAUGAUCUUUUUGUGGAUUAUGCUUUUGCUGCUCCCACUUUUGCUGAUGUCAAAAAAGGGGAGAAAUAUAUAUGCUGUCUUAGCUAUGCAGGAUUACUCGAUGUGACUUCUAUGUGCCGAUGCUAUGGCAUAGUUAUUAUUAUAUCUGCAGAGGACAAGUUGACUAUUUGUCAAGUCGACUUCAUCAUGUACUUGUAUAUCUGUUAGAUAAUCCUUUACAGGUCCCAGUCGACUGCAUCUAAUGAGGGGGAGAUGUCACACCUCCUUUUUCACUAUACACCCCUACGAAAGGAGCGUAAAGGAGUAUUUCCACUUAAAGGAUAAUCGGAACGAGAUUUGGUUAUUAUUUAUUCAGAGUCGUCACUUGGCAGAUUUAUGGUGUCCCGAGACACUGAUUUGAAUCCCGAACAGAGGAAGAUUAUGACUCCGUUACAGUCUGCGAAUCAGAAAUCCGAGUAAGGAAUUCUAUUAAGCCGGGAGAAGGUGUUAGGCAUUCCAAGAUUCCGUGGUUCUAGCACGGUCGCUUAACUGUUAUAUUUGAUUUUAUCUGAUUUUAAUACAUGCUAACUUAUGUGUCCUUUUAUUUAUAUAACGCUUUUACCAUUAUUUAUUUUAAAAGACUUGCGACGUUGUGAAAACAUAUUUCUGAUCACGUCACCACCAGUGUACACGUGAUCGUCGACACGUUGCGACUUCGUCGAGAUUUGGAUUUGGGGUUUCAUCAAUGCACACCCGAGUUUAGGAAGGUACUUUAAUUAAAACGCGUCUAAAGAUUCUAUCGCACUAUUAUCUUUUGGGAGGAUCGUGAAAUUCGCUAAACACCCUUCCCGAUUCUCUUAGUAUUUUUAAAACUUUAUUAAGGGCCCCACAAUUUGUAUUUUUGUUGGCGAGGCUCGUCUCAUUUUAUUUUAAAAGAAAACCGAAAAGCAACUAUGGUUUUUUAUUUUUAUUUAUCUUUAAUAAAGAAAAGAAGCCCUAAAUAAUGAGGGUUGCCUACGUAUCUCACCGCCUAUGAGAAUCAGACGAUGCACAGUUCGGGCAGAUUAACCAAACCAUUUAAAACAUGACUUUUUUUCAUUUUCUCUUUUGGAAUUCCAUAAGCAAAUAAUAAAAUUAAAAAAAACUACUUUUAGAACAAGACACUUUUUCUUUUCUUCUUUUUCAACAAUAAAACAACCUAUUUUUCCAACAUCCUAUUUUUCAAAUUAAAAUAAAAGACUCUUUAUUUCCCCAGUAAGAUAACCUAUUUUUCCGGACUAAAAAUAAAAAGCUCUUCUUUUUCCUUCUUUUUCAUCAAAUAAUAAAACAAAUAAACUAUUUUGAAAUAACAAUCAAAACUCUUUUUUUUUCUUUUCAUUUUUCAUGGUAAACAAACUAUAUUUCCUUUUCCUAUUUUUGAAAACAAGACAAAAUAACGACUCUUUUUUCUUUCAAAUUUUUCAUGGCAAAACAAAUUAUUUUUCCUUUUAUAUUUUUGAACACAAAAAAAAAAUAACGAUUUUUUUCAUUUUCAACAACCUAUUUUUCUCAAUUAAAAAUAAAAACUCUUUUUUUUUCAUUUUUUAGUAACACAACCUAUUUCCGAAAAAGAAUAACGUCUCUGUUUUCUUUUUCAAUAAAACACCCUAUAUUUUCAUUGGCAAAUAAACUAUUUUGAAACAAUAAGAACAAAAAUCAAGACUUUUUUUCUUUUCUCAUGACAAAACAAACUAUUCUUCAUUUUCUGUUUUUUGCAAACAGGACAAACUAAAAAAAAAAAUGACGGGCUCUAUUUGAAUAUAACAACUAUAUAAACAUUUUUAUAUUUUUUCAAAAUUUUGGCAGAGUUUCGACAUUACUUGGACAUCGAUUUUUCCAAAACAAUCAAUUAAUUCCCUAACCGCUAUUUUUCUCUUUUUCUUUUCCUCAAUUUCACAAAAUUUCCGAGAUUCAAAAGACAGUCAGCAUCCGGGUUCGAACAAAUAAAUGCACAGAAUAAGUAGGAUGCACCAGGAUGGUCUUUUUAGUUGAGGUAGCUAGCCUUAGACGGAUCAAAGCCCUGUGUUGAGUCCCCUAAGUCAGAUGCAGCAUGAUGCAAAUAAGCGUUCGUACUAAGGAUCCGGCAUGAAGUCAAGUUAUUCUAUGUUCAAAACCUGGUUCGAUGUUCUAGACUGUGUACCCGAGCGGACAACCCGAGUCGAGGAGAGGGCAACUUACCAGGAACCAAAAGUCCAUCCGACAUCGUGACUUAUCUGAGCCACUUUCUUAUUUCAGGGUAUAAAACUAGCAGAAUAGGGAGUCUCAACCAGUAAGCACAUCCCCGGAGGUAAAGAGAGGAGGGUGUCGGCACAAUUUAUAUACGGUUCAGAUAAUAUUAAAGCGGCAACAUUUAGCACAUUCAUCAUGAAACAUGUGGGAAAAUGAGGUCAAAUACAACAAUUUUUCUAAGCUCGAGUUCUUAACCCUGAACAAAAUAUUCUGGGUUCUCAUCCCCAGCAGAGUCGCCAGAGUUGUCACACCUCCUUUUUCACUAUACACCCCUGCGAAAAGGGCGUAAAUGAGUAUUUCCACUUAAAAGACAAUCGAACGGGAUUUGGUUAUUAUUUAUUCAGAGUCGCCACUUGAGAGAUUUAUGGUAUCCCAAGUCACUGAUUUGAAUCCCGAACCGAGGAAGAUUAUGACUCUGUUACAGUCUGCGAACCAGAAAUCCGAGUAAAAAAUUCUGUUAACCCGGGAGAAUGUGUUAGGAAUUCCCGGGUUCCGUGGUUCUAGCACGGUCACUUAACUCUUGUGUUUAAAUCCGAGUAAGGAAUUCUAUUAACCCAAGAGAAAGUGUUAGGCAUUUCCAAAUUCUGGGGUUCUAGCACGGUCGUUAAGUGUUAUAUAUGAUUUUAUCUGAUUUUAAUACAUGCUAGCUUAUGUGCCCUUUUUUUUUGUAUACCGCUUUUACCAUUAUUUAUUUUAAAAGACUUGCGACGUCGUGAAACAUAUUUCUAAUCACGUCACCACCAGUGUACACGUGAUCGUCGACACGUUUUGACCUCGUCGAGAUUUGGAUUUGGGUUGCAUCAAUGCACACCCGAGUUUAGGAAGGUACUUUAAUUAAAACGCGUCGAAAGAUUCUAUCGCAUUAUUAUCUUUUGGGAGGAUCGUGAAAUUCGCUAAACGGCCCUUCCCGAUUCUGUAAGUAUUUUUAAAACUUUAUUGAGGACCCCGCAAUUUGUAUUUUUUUUGGCGAGGCUCGUCUCAUUUUAUUUUAAAAGCAAACCUAAAAACAACUAUGAUUUUUUAUUUUUAUUUGUCUUUAAUAAUAACGAAAAGAAGCCCUAACUAAUUAUUUUGUUUAAGAGUUACUACGUCUAGGUCCACAACUCAAACAGCCCGCGUGAGGAUCAUUGCCUUUUGGAAGAAAAAUGAAGUACCAAAUCUAAAUUUCAUAUUCAUCUCUAUGACCUAUUCAGACAACUAACAAUUUAACAAAAUAAAGGUCAACUAAAAAAAGUGAAAAUCGGGUUUCGAAAAACGAUCUCAAGAUAACCAGUACAUUAAAAUAUUCACACGUCAAUGAAAAAUGAGAUCUGAAAUUACAAAUGGACAAAGUUGGAAUAUAACUUUAAAUAAAGCUAGGAAAUCUGAAACAUGGACCACAAUUAAACUAUUGGAAUAAGAAAAAACGGCACUAACUCCCAUUUUAAUAUAGAAAACCAAAAGCAACAUUUUAGCAAUUUUAAAAUCAAUUCAAUGCAUUCCAUGGAUUAAUGAAGCACAUAUUUGAAAGCUUAAAGGAACAGAGGUUAUAAACAUCACCUCAGCAAAACUGGAAGCAAACAAAUACCCGAGGACAAGAAGAUCAACACGAAAUAACAGUAAUCAAAAAGAAGAACGGACCACACCCCUUGAAAAUAUUCAAUAAAAUCAGAAAAACAACACACAGCAACAGCAUUACGUCUUCUACAGAUUUGCCAAACUCGGCACUAGCGUAAUGGAGCGGAAAUGAUCAGCAAGGAACUAGCAAAUCAUACGACAAAUUUAAACAAAUCCGAUGCAGUAUUAUACUCAAUAACAUGAUGAAACAGAAGCUGACCUCACAUGGAAAAUAAAAGGAAUGAAUCAGACGAUCUCGGGACGGAACUCGAACCGGAAACAAGCGACAUUACCUCGACAAAUCGACGACCUCAAAUGACGACGAAUGAGAACAUCGUACGGAAAAUGAAGCGCUUCGUCGGAGUCUCAACGAAACUCG
rnacentral:lncRNA from 1 species